rnacentral:misc_RNA from 1 species
GAUGAAGAACGUAGCGAAAUGCGAUAAGUAGUGUGAAUUGCAGAAUUCCGUGAAUCAUCGAAUCUUUGAACGCACAUUGCGCCUUCUGGUAUUCCGGAAGGCAUGCCUGUUCGAGAGUCAUUAACAACCGUUUCGAUCCCUUUCUUUCAGAAAUUACAAAGAGGAAAAGGGUUUGGUUAUGGUGGAGGAGGGAAAGGGAGCGUUUAGCCUGUAAAAAAAGAGGCUGUGUUCCGCCUCCCCCCCAAAAUUGUACAGGCGGUCGUGUGCGCCCACGCAUCGAGGUGUUGUAAAAGCUGCCACGGCACUUUUCACCUGUGCAGUGCGAGAUUGGCCAGCCGGUUUAAAAACCCCGCCAAACAAUCAAAGGUUGACCUCGGAUCAGGUAGGGAUACCCGCUGAACUUAAGCAUAUCAAUAAGCGGAGGA